rnacentral:rRNA from 1 species
CCCAGUAGUGGGGGAUAGCCCGGGGAAACCCGAUUAAUACCGCAUACGUCCUUCGGGAGAAAGCAGGGGCUCUUCGGACCUUGCGCUAUUGGAUGUGCCUAUGUCGGAUUAGCUAGUUGGUGGGGUAAAGGCCUACCAAGGCGACGAUCCGUAGCUGGUCUGAGAGGAUGAUCAGCCACAUCGGGACUGAGACACGGCCCGAACUCCUACGGGAGGCAGCAGUGGGGAAUAUUGGACAAUGGGGGCAACCCUGAUCCAGCCAUGCCGCGUGUGUGAAGAAGGCUUUCGGGUUGUAAAGCACUUUCAGUGAGGAGGAAAACCUUAUGGUUAAUACCCAUGAGGCUUGACGUUACUCACAGAAGAAGCACCGGCUAACUCCGUGCCAGCAGCCGCGGUAAUACGGAGGGUGCAAGCGUUAAUCGGAAUUACUGGGCGUAAAGCGCGCGUAGGGGUUUGAUAAGCGAGAUGUGAAAGCCCCGGGCUUAACCUGGGAACGGCAUUUCGAACUGUCAGGCUAGAGUAUGGUAGAGGGUAGUGGAAUUUCCUGUGUAGCGGUGAAAUGCGUAGAUAUAGGAAGGAACACCAGUGGCGAAGGGGCUACCUGGACCAAUACUGACACUGAGGUGCGAAAGGUGGGGAGCAAACAGGAUUAGAUACCCUGGUAGUCCACGCCGUAAACGAUGUCAACUAGCCGUUGGGG